AACGAACGCUGGCGGCAUGCCUAACACAUGCAAGUCGAACGAGACCUUCGGGUCUAGUGGCGCACGGGUGCGUAACGCGUGGGAACCUGCCCUUAGGUUCGGAAUAACUCCCCGAAAGGGGUGCUAAUACCGGAUAAUGUCUUCGGACCAAAGAUUUAUCGCCUUUGGAUGGGCCCGCGUUGGAUUAGCUAGUUGGUAGGGUAAAAGCCUACCAAGGCGACGAUCCAUAGCUGGUCUGAGAGGAUGAUCAGCCACACUGGGACUGAGACACGGCCCAGAAUCCUACGGGAGGCAGGAGUGGGGGAUAUUGGACAAUGGGCGAAAGCCUGAUCCAGCAAUGACGCGUGAGUGAUGAAGGCCUUAGGGUUGUAAAGCUCUUUUACCCGGGAUGAUAAUGACAGUACCGGGAGAAUAAGCUCCGGCUAACUCCGUG
rnacentral:rRNA from 1 species